rnacentral:rRNA from 1 species
AGAGUUUGAUCAUGGCUCAGGACGAACGCUGGCGGCGUGCCUAACACAUGCAAGUCGAACGAUCCCGCACUCAAUUUUAUUUACAAGGUGGAAAAGAUGUACUAUGUUUAUUUAUUACGACUGAGUGAUAAAACGACAUAUGUAGGAUACACAUCUAAUUUAAAAGUGAGAAUCAAACAACAUAGAAAUAACUAUGUAGAUUCAACACGAAAUAAAAACCCACAACUUGUAUAUUAUGAAGCUUUCAAGUCACGCAAAGAUGCAAUGGCAAGAGAGCAGAAAUUAAAACAAGGUCAAUCAAAAGGACAUUUGAUUGAUAGAAUACAAGACAGUAUAAAACUUUGUGAAUAAAAUUGAGUGCGGGAUAGUGGCGGACGGGUGAGUAACGCGUGAAUAAUCUGCCCCAUACAGGGGGAUAGCCUCGGGAAACCGGGAUUAAAACCGCAUAACACUUUAUCACCGCAUGGUGAUGAAGUCAAAUCGAUUAAGAGGUAUGGGAUGAGUUCGCGUCUGAUUAGCUAGUUGGCAGGGUAAAGGCCUACCAAGGCGACGAUCAGUAGCCGGCCUGAGAGGGUGACCGGCCACACUGGAACUGAGACACGGUCCAGACUCCUACGGGAGGCAGCAGUGGGGAAUAUUGCACAAUGGGGGGAAACCCUGAUGCAGCGACGCCGCGUGAGUGAAGAAGGUCUUCGGAUCGUAAAACUCUGUCCUUGGUGACGAAGGAAGAGACGGUAACCAAGGAGGAAGCCCCGGCUAACUACGUGCCAGCAGCCGCGGUAAUACGUAGGGGGCGAGCGUUGUCCGGAUUUACUGGGCGUAAAGGGUGAGUAGGCGGUCAUAUAAGUCAGGUGUAAAAAGCUAAGGCUUAACCAUAGUAAGCACUUGAAACUGUAUGACUUGAGUGCAGG